rnacentral:rRNA from 1 species
CGGCGAACGGGUGAGUAAUACGUAGGGAACCUACCCCCCGGAUUGGGAUAAUUUCUGGAAACGGAUUGUAAUACCAAACGGUCCUCGAAGAGCGCCUGUUCUUCUUGGUAAAUGGUUGCCUCGGCUUCUGCCGGGGGAGGGCCCUAUGCCCUAUUAGUUUGUUGGUGGGGUAAUGGCCUACCAAGACAAUGAUGGGUAGCCGGACUGAGAGGUUGGCCGGUCACACUGGGACUGAGACACUGCCCAGACUCCUACGGGAGGCUGCAGUCGAGAAUCUUCCGCAAUGGACGAAAGUCUGACGGGGCGACGCCGCGUGAAAGAUGAAGGCCUUCGGGUUGUAAAUUUCUGUCAGAGGGAAAGAAGGUCAGGAGUUAACAGCUCCUUGACUUGACGUUACCCUUAGAGGAAGCCCUGGCUAACUCCGUGCCAGCAGCCGCGGUAAUACGGAGAGGGCAAGCGUUGUUCGGAAUCACUGGGCAUAAAGGGCACGUAGGCGGGAUGGUAAGUCGGUUGUGAAAGCCCGGGGCUCAACCCCGGAACGGCUUCCGAAACUACCAACCUUGUGGAUGAGAGGGGAGAGUGGAACUUCUGGUGGAGCGGUGAAAUGCGUAGAUAUCAGAAGGAACACCGGUGGCGAAAGCGACUCUCUGGCUCAUUUCUGACGCUGAGGUGCGAAAGCUAGGGUAGCGAACGGGAUUAGAUACCCCGGUAGUCCUAGCCGUAAACGAUGGGAACUAGG